rnacentral:rRNA from 1 species
AUUGAACGCUGGCGGCAGGCCUAACACAUGCAAGUCGAACGAGUGGCGGACGGGUGAGUUAUGAUUGGGCAUCUAGCUUAUGGAGGGGGAUCACUACGGGACACUGUAGCUAAUACCGCGUACCAUAGGAUGAGCCCAAGUGGGAUUAGGUAGUUGGUGGGGUAAAGGCUCACCAAGCCGACGAUCUCUAGCUGGUCUGAGAGGAUGACCAGCCACACUGGGACUGAGACACGGCCCAGACUCCUACGGGAGGCAGCAGUGGGGAAUAUUGCACAAUGGGGGCAACCUGACGCAGCCAUGCCGCGUGAAUGAAGAAGGCCUUCGGGUUGUAAAGUUCUUUCGGUAGCGAGGCGUUAACUACAGAAGAAGCACCGGCUAACUCCGUGCCAGCAGCCGCGGUAAUUC